ACCUGGGUGGCUCAGUAGGUUGAGUGUCUGACUUCGGCUCAGGUCAUGAUCUCACAGCUUGUGAGUACAAGCCCCACUUCGGGCU
rnacentral:tRNA from 1 species